rnacentral:tRNA from 1 species
AAAAAUUUAGUUAAAAAAAAAUAACAUUAGCUUGUCAAGCUAAAAUUAUUAUAAUUAAUAAUUUUUA